rnacentral:rRNA from 1 species
UACGUAGGGGGCAAGCGUUGUCCGGAAUCAUUGGGCGUAAAGCGCGUGUAGGCGGUCCGAUAAGUCGGUUGUGGAAGUCCAGGGCUCAACCCUGGGAUGCCGACCGAUACUGUCGGACUAGAGUUCGGAAGAGGCGAGUGGAAUUCCCGGUGUAGCGGUGAAAUGCGCAGAUAUCGGGAGGAACACCGGUGGCGAAGGCGGCAUCCUGGACCAAUAUUGACGCUGAGGAGCGAAAGCCAGGGGAGCAAACGGG